rnacentral:pre_miRNA from 1 species
UUAGUACUCCCUCCGUCCGGAAAUACUUGUCAUCAAAAUGAAUGGAAGGGGAUGUAUGUAGAUGUAUUUUAGUUUUAGAUACAUCCCUUUUUGACCAUUUUGAUGACAAGUAUUUUCGGACGGAGGGAAUACUAC